rnacentral:rRNA from 1 species
GACGAACGCUGGCGGCGCGCCUAACACAUGCAAGUCGAACGAGCGAGAGAGAGCUUGCUUUCUCAAGCGAGUGGCGAACGGGUGAGUAACGCGUGAGGAACCUGCCUCAAAGAGGGGGACAACAGUUGGAAACGACUGCUAAUACCGCAUAAGCCCACGGCUCGGCAUCGAGCAGAGGGAAAAGGAGCAAUCCGCUUUGAGAUGGCCUCGCGUCCGAUUAGCUAGUUGGUGAGGUAACGGCCCACCAAGGCGACGACCGGUAGCCGGACUGAGAGGUUGAACGGCCACAUUGGGACUGAGACACGGCCCAGACUCCUACGGGAGGCAGCAGUGGGGAAUAUUGCACAAUGGGGGAAACCCUGAUGCAGCGACGCCGCGUGGAGGAAGAAGGUCUUCGGAUUGUAAACUCCUGUUGUUGGGGAAGAUAAUGACGGUACCCAACAAGGAAGUGACGGCUAACUACGUGCCAGCAGCCGCGGUAAAACGUAGGUCACAAGCGUUGUCCGGAAUUACUGGGUGUAAAGGGAGCGCAGGCGGGAAGACAAGUUGGAAGUGAAAUCUAUGGGCUCAACCCAUAAACUGCUUUCAAAACUGUUUUUCUUGAGUAGUGCAGAGGUAGGCGGAAUUCCCGGUGUAGCGGUGGAAUGCGUAGAUAUCGGGAGGAACACCAGUGGCGAAGGCGGCCUACUGGGCACCAACUGACGCUGAGGCUCGAAAGUGUGGGUAGCAAACAGGAUUAGAUACCCUGGUAGUCCACACCGUAAACGAUGAUUACUAGGUGUUGGGGGAUUGACCCCUUCAGUGCCGCAGUUAACACAAUAAGUAAUCCACCUGGGGAGUACGACCGCAAGGUUGAAACUCAAAGGAAUUGACGGGGGCCCGCACAAGCAGUGGAGUAUGUGGUUUAAUUCGACGCAACGCGAAGAACCUUACCAAGUCUUGACAUCCCUUGACGAUGCUGGAAACAGUAUUUCUCUUCGGAGCAAGGAGACAGGUGGUGCAUGGUUGUCGUCAGCUCGUGUCGUGAGAUGUUGGGUUAAGUCCCGCAACGAGCGCAACCCUUAUGGUCAGUUACUACGCAAGAGGACUCUGGCCAGACUGCCGUUGACAAAACGGAGGAAGGUGGGGAUGACGUCAAAUCAUCAUGCCCUUUAUGACUUGGGCUACACACGUACUACAAUGGCGUUAAACAAAGAGAAGCAAGACCGCGAGGUGGAGCAAAACUCAGAAACAACGUCCCAGUUCGGACUGCAGGCUGCAACUCGCCUGCACGAAGUCGGAAUUGCUAGUAAUCGUGGAUCAGCAUGCCACGGUGAAUACGUUCCCGGGCCUU